UACGUAGGGGGCAAGCGUUGUCCGGAUUUAUUGGGCGUAAAGCGUGCGCAGGCGGUUUGUUAAGUCUGCUGUGAAAUCCCCGAGCUCAACUUGGGAAUUGCAGUGGAUACUGGCAAGCUGGAGUACGGUAGAGGAAGGUGGAAUUCCCGGUGUAGCAGUGAAAUGCGUAGAGAUCGGGAGGAACACCAGUGGCGAAGGCGGCCUUCUGGACCAGUACUGACGCUCAUGCACGAAAGCGUGGGGAGCAAACAGG
rnacentral:rRNA from 1 species